rnacentral:rRNA from 1 species
GUAACACGUGGGUGAUCUGCCCUGCACUUUGGGAUAAGCCUGGGAAACUGGGUCUAAUACCGAAUACACCUCAUUGACUGCAUGGUUGGUGGGGGAAAGCUUUUGCGGUGUGGGAUGGGCCCGCGGCCUAUCAGCUUGUUGGUGAGGUUACGGCUCACCAAGGCGACGACGGGUAGCCGGCCUGAGAGGGUGACCGGCCACACUGGGACUGAGAUACGGCCCAGACUCCUACGGGAGGCAGCAGUGGGGAAUAUUGCACAAUGGGCGCAAGCCUGAUGCAGCGACGCCGCGUGGGGGAUGACGGCCUUCGGGUUGUAAACUCCUUUCAGCACAGACGAAGCGCAAGUGACGGUAUGUGCAGAAGAAGGACCGGCCAACUACGUGCCAGCAGCCGCGGUAAUACGUAGGGUCCGAGCGUUGUCCGGAAUUACUGGGCGUAAAGAGCUCGUAGGUGGUUUGUCGCGUUGUUCGUGAAAACUCACAGCUUAACUGUGGGCGUGCGAGCGAUACGGGCAGACUUGAGUACUGCAGGGGAGACUGGAAUUCCUGGUGUAGCGGUGGAAUGCGCAGAUAUCAGGAGGAACACCGGUGGCGAAGGCGGGUCUCUGGGCAGUAACUGACGCUGAGGAGCGAAAGCGUGGGGAGCGAACAGGAUUAGAUACCCUGGUAGUCCACGCCGUAAACGGUGGGUACUAGGUGUGGGUUUCCUUCCUUGGGAUCCGUGCCGUAGCUAACGCAUUAAGUACCCCGC